rnacentral:lncRNA from 1 species
GGGAAACUUCAGUGACAUCUCUACAACCUUACAGAGAAUGAAUAUAGAAUCAGAUUUAAAUAUCCCACUUUCCUCAAGGUGUACAGCAAUGCAAUUCAGUAAAAUGUGGAAAAGAGGAAGUGGAAAGAAGCUCCAAGAGCAAAACUCCAUCCAAAGGACUGCUCCUGCUGCUGCUGCUAAGUCACUUGAGUGGUGUUCGACUCUGUGUGACCCCAUAGACAGCAGCCCACCAGGCUCCCCCAUCCCUGGGAUUCUCCAGGCAAGAACACUGGAGUGAGUUGCCAUUUCCUUCUCCACUGCAUGAAAGUGAAAAGUGAAAGUGAAGUCGCUCAGUCAUGUCCGACCCUUAGCGACCCCAUGGACUGCAGCCCACCAGGCUUCUCCAUCCAUGACAGUUUCCAGGCAAGAGUACUGGAGUGGGUUGCCAUUUCCUUACACCAAGCACUAGAGAAUUAGAAUACUUCUAUCUCAAGUGUUUCUGUCAGAG